UGUGUACUGUUUUAUACGUAGUACUGUUGCUGUUUAUUGUUAUAUAUGUAGGCAUAUAUAUAUAUAUAAUAUUAAAAAAGCGUUGAAGUCGUAGUGUAAUGCUGAUUUGUGCGUGUGUGUAUGUCUUUCUCUCUUUCUUUCGCGCGCGCUCUCUCCCUCUCUCGUGAGCAGCGAAUCCGUCCUGAGUUUCCAAGCGAAAGUUGCAUGGAGACACACAGCGUAAGACGCGUGUAAUGAAGAGAAUGGUGAGAGAGGGAGAGAUAAAAGAGAAGGAAAGCACGAACAAACUCAUACCAAGCGAGAUCACAACAGAUCUCCACCGACUAGUCUGUUUUAGGAAAAAGAAAUAAGGGCAUCGGGGCGAUAUUGUAAAAAAAAAAAAAAAAAAAAAAAAAAAAAAAAAAACACUGCAUCGAUGCAACAGAAGCGACUCGGAGCCCUUGCACGGAGUUGGAGAGGCUGAAAUUAAUGUACAUUGCAUGCACUCCACGUAACGCUCCGGAGCGAUGCCUUUGUGAGUGUUUUUUUUUCGUACUGCGAGCUAAAAAUAGCAGCAGUGUUUGAUCGCGCUCCAGAAAUAGGCAGAGGGGUAACACAAGUAUAAAAAGGACUGCAAUUCUGAGAAACCUUGGACAUUGCUGAGCAAGGGCUCAUUGCAUAGGGUUUUACAAAAACAUUUGGAAGGAGUCUAGUCACUACAGACAUCUCAGAGUCUUCUUCAUGCUGCCCCAUGCACAUUAUUCACCUCCAUGGUGAAACCUGGAAGUCUGAAGAUCCACAGAUGUCAUCUGAGGCACCACCUACAAUUUUCUGCUUCUAUUAUCAGUAAAUGGACAUUUCCGUGUGCCAAGCAUCCUGUCGCAGUACCAUAUCGCGUUUCUACAGAGAGCACAGAGAGCAAGACAGAGGAAGGGACGAUGGUGGGCAUGUGCUGAGAUUCAGAAUGAAGUGGAUGAAUCAGUCAACACAGCUAGGAAACCAUUAAAGAAAAUCCACAAGAAGUUGGAUCUGCCUUGCGCAAUCUCUUUAUCUCAGCUCCAUAUGUCAAGAGGCCAUCUCUGCAGCUUAAUCACGGAACAAGAUGACAGAGUCUUAACAGAUAUUUAUACUUCUGUUUCUAAAAGCUCUGAUAUGCAUGGAUAUCUCUAUUACUCUAUUGUAAUUGGUGGACAUUGUAGUCUUUAUCAUUUUAUGGAAUCAUGUUUAGUGUCAUGUCAGUUUAGAGAGACUAGGAGAGAGGGCCUACCAGGUUGUAAUCUAGAGCAUAUAACAAAAAUGAAAGAUUAAAUAAAUACAUGCAGAGUUGCUUAAAGCUAUUUUUAGAGUUUUAUUUCUUAUUUCUCAGACAUCUACACCUGUUGAAAGGUGACAGUUUCACACACACUACAGGCCAUGCUGAACAAAAUCUUGUGGUUGUGUAUCUGCAGAAACUUUAAAGGGAGGAUUUAAGCAGCUUGUACAGAUGACCGUCAUGAACACGUGCACAGGGAUUUGGAUAACUGCGUUGAAAUUCAUUUAGGACUGUUCUGUACUCGUCGAGGGCAGCUGGUUAAUUAAGGACCAAUUUGACACCGUCAGGUAUUUAAGUUUCUGUCUCUAUAGGGCUUGCGUUUGGAGCAGUAUGCAGACUUUGAGGACGUUGCCAUUGCCAGUCGUUUCUUGAUGUAUAUGAUGCGUAUGGUAUUUAAAAAAAAAAUAAGUAAAUAAAUAAAACCAAAAAAGCAGAAUAAGGUAAGGACCAAGACGUAUGCUAAACUAAACUCUGGAGGAUGAAGUAAAACAUUUAACAUUCUUAAUGUGGCUUGUUGGAGCACGACUGCGUGUGUGUUUCGUUUGUCUGUAAGUAGGCUGCUGUGUGGCAGGGGCAGAGGGUGAUACUGUUAAAUAGGUGCAGGGUCUCCAACGUUAUCCUAGAGGACAAUGAGUGUUUUCUGCGCAAAGCUGUGAAUGAUUGUAGCAGGACGAUUCUUACAAAAAUUAUUUUUGAGGUUUUUGAUGCGCAGUUAAUGUCGAGAAGGUCGCUGUCCACUGCAAAGGUGCUGAUAAUGAAAAUCUGCACACAGACAUGAGAUUUUAGUGUGUAUAUGUCGGACUAUACGUUAGGUAAAUUGUCUAUAAUUGUUUGAUUGCUUAUAGUGAUGUUAAGGGUGAUACAGACACACAGCACAUCGUAGUUCUAACAUAUGUCCACGGCUUAAGAUCAAUUACAUCCUCAGGCAUAGUGUCCGAAAUAAAUUUAAUCGAGAGGCACAUAGGCAAUUGUAAUGGUAAUGUACAAAACAACCAGAAAGCAGGAGAAAGGUGAGACAUGUGAAAACAUCGAUACUGCAAGUGGGGUGAGAGUGGUUCAGGGCGAGGGUGUGUGUGUGCAUGUACCCUUUGGGUGGAGUAUCUCUAAAUUACUGAAUAUGAAUGAUUUUAUUUAACAUAAAAAUAAACACGAGGCAAUCUGUGGAACAACGCGAGGGGUGUACGUCUAAAAACACACUAUAAUCCACGCUGCAAUCCAAACGUCAACUGUAGUAGGCUGACAGUGUCUCUAACAAUAUAAAAGGAUUUAUUUGAAAUAUGUAUAAGUAUAG
ensembl:lncRNA